UACGUAGGUGGCAAGCGUUGUCCGGAUUUACUGGGCGUAAAGGGCGUGCAGGCGGUUUGUUAAGUCUAGGGUGAAAGCUCCCGGCUCAACUGGGAGAGGUCCUUGGAUACUGGCAGACUUGAGGAGGGUAGAGGAGAGUGGAAUUCCCGGUGUAGUGGUGAUAUGCGUAGAUAUCGGGAGGAACACCAAUGGCGAAGGCAGCUCGCUGGGACGGUACUGACGCUGAGACGCGAAAGCGUGGGGAGCAAACAGG
rnacentral:rRNA from 1 species